UACGUAGGGUGCUAGCGUUGUUCGGAAUCAUUGGGCGUAAAGCGCGUGUAGGUGGUCAUCUAAGUCGAGUGUGAAAGCCCUGGGCUCAACCCGGGAAGUGCAUCCGAAACUAGUUGUCUAGAAGACAUUAGAGGAAGGUGGAAUUCCAAGUGUAGAGGUGAAAUUCGUAGAUAUUUGGAGGAAUACCGGCGGCGAAGGCGGCCUUCUGGGAUGCUCUUGACACUGAGACGCGAAAGCGUGGGUAGCAAACAGG
rnacentral:rRNA from 1 species